GAUAAGUUUUUCAGGUAUUUUAGCAUCACUCAGUGUUUAGAAUAUGCAAUAUUUAAAUUCCAUAAAUAAUAUAUUUAGCAUAUGUACAUGCUAAAAUUAAUUUCGUUAUAAGUAUUUAUGGUACCACAAAGAAACUGUUGGACAGAAUUCGGCAAAAUGGAUCAUUUUAACUUUGUUAAGUCUUAAGUGGAGAACCACUUGAAGAAUACUUAAAAAUGUUUAAUCAUGAUGCUACAGUAUCCACAUUUUUUUAAUAGAAUUGAAAUGGAUGGUCAAACAUGUACAAGAUUUUUUAAAAGUCCUUGGUUUUUCGACAUAUUCCAAAGUACUGCAUAUAUACAGAAUAUUCUAGUUAACUGUUAUAGUUUUAUGUAUACAAAAUGUCAAUAACAUUGUGAUUUACAUUUCCGGUGUAUGAUAUCAUAAUCAGAUGUAUAGUUGUCAUUAACAAAAAACAUUAUGCUGCAAUCAUUUCACAAUAGUAGAAGAUGCAGGGUAGUGAAUUAAUUUCAUAUUUUAUGUUCUUCACAGUAUUUUCUUAUAAAAAUGCUAUUAAUUUAUCAUAUGUGUUAUAAUAUCUAUAUAAUAAUAAAUAUGAAAAGUGAAUGAAGACAGUAACUUGACUAUCUUGGAUUACUACAAGUCAUAAAUUUUGUUAAUUAAUUUUGGCAACUCAAGAAAAUUUUCAUUCUGAAAGAAUUAUUUAUGUGAAGGUUUGUACGAUAACACUUGUACAUGAAAAGGAAUAAGAACAAGAUCUACUUGGGUCAAAGGAUAUCCUGCGCACCAAACUUCAUUUAGCUUUAAUAUCAGUAUUAUACUUAUGAUAAUGUUAAUGGAACUGAAAAUAUGUUUGUAAAAUCAAAAAACAUUUAUAGAAUUAGUGAUAUCAGUGAUGGUUAGUUUGAUUAAAAUCUAAAUAUUUUAAAUGCAGUUGAUUUUAAUUUUUUAUAUACUAUCCACUUCAUUUGUGUAACUUAAUUUUUACCCAAGUUUUCUAAAUAUAUUAAAAGUUAACUACUUUUCUGCUACCAUAUGCCUAGAAUGUGUGUUUUUGUUCCCACUUUACACACGACACUAAGUUGAAUGAUUUUUUUUACCCAAUAUUUUUAAAUUUAAUAACAUUAAUAAGAAAUAUACUUAUUACACAAGUUAUCUUUAUGGUACAAUUUAAUGAGUACAUAAUAUAUAUAUAUAUAUAUAUAUAUAUAUAUGUAUAAAGUGUUCAUUUAAGUACAAUAGCUUUUAAAAUUGUAUGAAUAUUGACAAGUUAAUUUCAUUCCCUUGGUAAAUUCUCACUUUACUACUUUUUAAUUACACAAAAUUGUAUCUGUAGCAAUACUUUUUUUAGGAAAUUUGUAAUGUAAAUGUGACUGUUAGCUAUUUAUCAAACUUAACUAUUUGUCUUGUACAGUGUAUAACUUAUUUAUGUUUGAUAUGAUAUUAUUGUUGAUCAGAAAGAUAUAUAUAUAACAUUUUAUUUUAAUAAAGAGUUUCAUUUCAUUUACCACAGCAAAAAUAGAUCAAAUAUAAUUGUAAAAACAUAGGCACACUUAAGACUUUUAAUUGUUUUGUUACUGCACACCUCACACACUUACUGAUAUAACAUGCGCAUGUAAAAUACAGAUCCUAUCCCCAGUGCUCAAAUAAUGAAAGAGUGUAAUAAAAGAAAGUAUAUUUGAAUUUUUGCACUCUGUUCGAUGCAAAAAACAGUUCCCAUAACAAUCAGCUUAAUAAAAGCUCAAUUAAGUAUAUAUUACAUAUCAAUAAUCGCAUGAUCCCUUCUAAUCUUAAUCUUUGAGUUAGUGUAAAUAAAAACUUUUAGUUCGAACUUGUAGGGCCUAAAAUAAGUGUUUGAGUGGCCAAGGUAAUUCUAUUCCCCUUCUCAAAAUAGUAGAAUAAAUAAGUUUUUAAUCAAAAUAAUAGAAUAAAUAAGUUUUUAAAUCUCCCUCCUCUUAUAUCACCCACCAUUUUUAUCAGUUCUUUUAAAAUUAUUGACAAAAAGUUGUGAAAACUAAAGGUCCCUUUAUUGACUUUCUCCAAAAUGCCCUCUCUCCAAAAUGCCCACUGGAAUGUUUAUCUCAAAACGAGGUAAUUUUAUUUCUUGGGUAAAUUACUUAAUGCAAAAACAAUCUUUCAGGUUUCACCAAAUUUAUUAUAGAAAUCUAAAAAUUACACUGAUAGAAAUAAUCACAUUUAUUUAAAUCAGAUAUGUUUCUGAAUCUCAGAAGUUUUAAAUCAUGAUUUAUACGGAUAGAAAAUAAAACAGGUCUUAUCUACCCACCCUUUCCACAAAAUUACUCCAUUAUAGGUUCAUGAAAUAAAAUAUUUCAGUGAAGUGAUAUUUUCUAUCAGCACUCAAUCAAAGGUUAGGAGGGUCUCCUUAGGGGUGGGUGUCCCCAGGGCCUGUAUUAACAUAUAAUAUGUGAAAUAAAAUUAUGAAAAUGGCAAGAAUCAGAUUUUGUAGCACAAACACACUAUCCUCAUACAACAAACAAAAUAUAUGAGUCAUCUGUAGUAGAUAGAUAUACAGUAUAUACAUUCCGGGUCUUAGGUUAUCAACAGUUAACGUCCUAGUCUUCCAGCCACACUACAUUGAAAUAUUACUCACACAAUUUAUUACAUUCUUGAGAUAUUUUACUGUAAAGAGUAAUCUUCAGUCAACUGAUGUUAAACCAAAAUUAGUUAAAUAACUAACCUAUAACUAAAUGCAUUUGCACAUUUGAAUAGUAGUUGUGUUAUUAUUUACCCAUUAAAACCAAAAAUAUGUUUGAAAAAAUACUUGUUUAAAGGUCAUUACACUUUUUUUAACAAAGCAUAUUUUUAUUGUCCUCAGUUCAAACAAAGAUAAAUGUUUUAAAAAACUAUUUCAGUACUUCUACUAGUUUGGAAGAUAAAUGUUUUCCUAUAACCUAUUGUUGUAACUAUGAUAAAAAAUAGACAUUCAUUUAGUCACUAAAAAUCUAGACACUAAUAGUUGUGAAAUGAUUAAAUUAAAGGUCCUAAAGAGACAAAACAAAUAGAACACACAAAAUCUAUUUCUCAUUGUAUAUUAAAUAUUGGCUGUCUAGGCUUGCCAAUUUUGAAGUCAAAUACAACUAAAUAUAUUAUUACUCAUCUCACAAGUACUAAUAAUGUUUUUAUUAUUUUAUCUGGCUAAACUUGGCAUUUCUUAACCUCACAAGAUUUUGAUAUUUAACAUGUUUUUUUACUGAAGUUUCAAUAUUUAUUAUUUGCUUUUCUCUCUUUAUAUAAAUAACAUUUUCAAAGAUGGUUUUGUUUAUUACAAUAUUAUUAUUAUUAUUAGGGUUAUUUUACAUUGGUAUGACUCAAUUAAUAAUGAAAUAAUUACAUAACACUGAUGAUCAAUUGAUUAUGACAAUUCUUUUACAAUGUUAUGAAGUUGUAACAAGGAAUACUGAAAUAAAGUUGAGCAACAAUGGAAUAGUUUAAACUAACAAAUAGUAAAACUAACCAAUACAGUAAAUAGUUCAGAGGAACUUGCCUUUUCACUAAAGUAAUGACAAAACUUUUACAUGUCAGAUGUUUUAUUAUCCCAAUUCCAAGGGUAGUCACCUUUCCCAUACUUAUCUAAACAUAAUAUUUCCUUUUGAAGUCUGAGCAGAUAGAAAGAACUUUUAUUACUCAAUUAAACAAAAUAAUAAUACUUUUGGAUAUAUAUAUAUAUAUAUAUAUAUAUAUAUAUAUAUAUAACAACAUGCUAUAAACACGAUAUGUACUGGUGUUCUUUAAAUGGGCAAAUUGUAACAUUAUGUAUAACAUUUAUUUUUAUCUAAUUCUGUUAAUCUAAAUUAUUACACUUGUUUUAUAGGAUGUCAGACCUGUGAUAGGAGUAGGCCAUUUUACUUAUAAGAAAAAGUGUUUUUGUCUAUUCCAUUGUCAUAAAUGCUUAAAUACAAUAAAGAUUUCUUGAUUCUUGA
rnacentral:lncRNA from 1 species